ensembl:lncRNA
CAUGAGAGUAGGGAUGAGUAUCGUUUGGGUUUUUCCGAUACCGAUCCUAAACAGAGCCUGAACCCAAACACAAUUGAAGAAAAGUUUUUUUUCACUUCAAACUAUGCACAACAUAUGAACUUUUGAAAGUUUACAGUAUGAUUACAGUGUUUCCCCUCUGUAACAGCGGAAGUGUAGUUAAUUGGAAUUUGGGGAAUAUUAAUAAUUUAAUUUGAGAUUCAUGUUCAUUGUGCAGGAACUAAAGACAUUUAUUGAAAAGCAUUUACGUUAGAUUGACGCUCCUUGUUUGUCUCAAAGUAUUGACGUGCAACACAGAAGAGCUGCAGGAGGCACGAGAGCACAUCGCUUUUCUAUUGUGUAGAAAAAUACAUACGAAUAGAAGGUAGAUGGCUAGCUAGCUGCUGUAGCUACACAAGCGGUGAGCUAUCGUUAGCUGCUGCGAGGACAGAGUUAUCAGACUGUUUAAUUAGGGUGACCAAACGUCCUCUUUUCCCCGAACAUGUCCUCUUUUCGAGACCUAAAAAAUGCGUCCGGCAGAGAUUCCAAAAACGUCCGGGAUUUUGCUUCGUCUUCGUAUAUUUGUGUUUCUCUGGGUCUUUCACAAACUAGUUAUUACGCCCUUACCAGUUUUGGAAAUGGUGUCUCGCUUACGUUCCACCUUCUUUCGCGAGCUCUGACUGUAGAGAGAACAGUCAUUGGUCGACCGAUCUCAAUGUUGCCAGAUACACGAUAAUUAUCCUCCAAAAACGACCAUGUUGAGCCUUUGGUACGAUACUUCACCAUUUCCAAUCUGGCAACACUGAGCACUUCACUAGUUGCAUUGUUUACAGCACAUCUGCAGCCAUGCCGAAACGUAAAUGUAAGUUUACGGACGAACUAAAAGAAAAUACACAUGUUUUCACCUCGGCCGUGAUGCUUCGGAAGCUUUUCUUAUUUUAAUAUGUGGCUAUAUAAAGCAUUUACUAUUUAUUAUUUGUUUAUUUGUUAUCAUUAUUGCUUCAAUAUGUGGACAAGACACAAGAAGCGCUGGACUAAAUCCCACAAAAAAGAUUUGUUUUACAUUUGCACUUUUUAGUUUUGUUAAAGUUCAAUAAAUAGAUGUUCAUAUAGUCAUUUGUGUCAUUUUUGUCAUUUCAUUUCACCAAUAUGGCACCGGUGCUCGGUACAUAAUCCUACAUGAGAGUGGUGAAAUCAACUAUUGCUAAGUAAAGGUUUGGAAUAGCUCAAAUUAAACGAACAAUAUCUAUUUAACUCUCAUUCAUUACCAAAACAGCUGGGCAUGGUGUAGUCUUUGCCACUGCGUUUAUUGGAGGCUGUUUAAGCCCCUUCUGCUGGAGCACAAUCGUUUCUUCAUUCAUCAAAAUUUUAGAAUAACUAUUACUCGCACUGUGUCCCCACAAAUGUGUUUUGACAUUCGACGGGGCAUUUAUUUGAGUUCUUGUGAGAAUUUCACCGAACUGCUCCGCGGCGCCCACAAGCCGCGCUCCUUCCUCCUCCUCCUCCUCCUCCUCCUCCGCCUAGUGCUCGUGCAGUGCUGACACACAGGUGAUGGCGGUGUUCCCCGACGUCGUUUAGUGGUAAAUUACUGCCAGUACAGAUAGUUUUAGGAUGAAAAUAAAAGAUAUAAGCCUCGCCACAGCUCCGUCACUUUCUACCCUGUCUCCUCCACCUGUCACUCACCUAAUCAGUUCAUUCGGUGCACCUGCUAGUCACAAACACUACUGAGACAUCACAUAUAGGAUUUUAGAAUUUUUAUUGUCACAGAUUACAGAGAAAUCUCUGAAUGUGUACAGUAAAAAUAUGUAUGUUCUGUAUAAUAGUUAGCGGUCCUAAACACGCGUACAUACAGUCAUUGUUAAUCGUUCGGUGCUCGCUCCCAAUCUGGGCCGUUUAAGUGCGUUUACCGUAAUGGUCAGUUUAUAGGGGCACCGACGUUCGUGUGUCUGCUGAGUUGACCACGGAGAUCCGAAUGGCUGCUAAAUCGACCCCAGUGCCGAGAGACAGCGAGAUCCUCCUUGUGGCACUGGCACGCAGUGGCACUCAGUGGCUCUCAUUGGCACAACACGCGUCAAGUAAGAGGCGGGCGUCUCAACGCCACCCCGAGUGGGCGGAGCCAGGCUUUCCCGGAAACGGCCGUUGUUUGUGCGACAGGUCAGCUGCCGUAAAGAUGUUUUUUGUAGUUCUUUUUUUAUUUUACUUCAUGUUUUUUGUAUUUAUUUUAUUUUAUUUGAUACACGACAUAUUCUCCACCUCUAUCUCAAGUCCGACGUAUUCCGCU